CUCUCACCCUACCUCUUAAAGGGGACCCCUCAGGCAUCAGCCCGCCCCACCAAGAACCAGACCCUGAUGCUAUAGGUGCCAGAAGAUAGGUCACCUCCACAACCACUACCCUUUGGAGCCUCCUCAACAGUCGUGGGGGCACUCCAACAGUGUACCACCCCGUCCCUCAGUCCCGGCCGCUCACUGCUUGGAGACAGAGCCUCAUUCGGAUGAAUACUGGAGAGUACUUCAUGAGGCCGACCCCAUUCAGCCAGCCACCCAGGACAACAUUGACAGAUAGUACUGGUGAACGGGCAGACUGCCAAGGGAUUACGAGAUACCGGAGCUACCCUGACUUUAGUACAACGCCAUCUGGUAGAGAAACCUAACACACUGGGCAAACCGUUGAGGUCCGGGUAGCUAGGGGAGCUAUUUACCAUUUACCCACCGCCUGCGUUCACCUGAAUUGGGGAGUCAAAUCCGGCCAAGUGAACAUGGGUAUCAUGAAGGAUUUACCCACUGAGGUGUUGCUAGAGAAUGAUUUGGGUCCCUUAACCUCUGCUUAUGUACCCCGAGAACGCGCUGAAGCUCAACCUGUCACCACCCGAUUACAAGCCUGAACUGCAGAAGCUGGCCCACUUGUCACAGAGACCCAGGUAAGAAACCAACACCUGACUGUACUUAUAGACCUGAACCCGUUAGGCUGGGAUACCCCAGAGGAGUUUGGGAGGGAAACCCGGGAGGAUCCUAAGCUCCACAAGUAUAGGGCCAAGGCAGAGACUAACGAAGGGGGAUUGGAAGGGGAACAUUUUGUUUGGGAACAGGAUAGGUUGUACCAUUUAACUGAGACCUCUAAGGGUGGUACUACCACAUCCCAGAAGCAUCAGCUGGUUGUGCCCAGGAAAUACCGGAUGGAGCUUCUCCGGAUUAGGCACAAUGUACCCUUAGC